rnacentral:lncRNA from 1 species
CGCCGGGGCCGCGGGCUAGGUAGAGAGGUCAGCGGCGAACCCAGGCCUAUCUCGUCAGGCCGCGCGCGAACCCUGCCGGCCUCCGUUCUCUUCCGCUUGUCUCAGGUGCAGCGCAGAUCCUUCCGCCGUAGCGUGCGCUCCCUGUAGCGCUGCGAUCAGCUUUUCGGCAAUACCCGGAUGGAAGUGUAAUGGCCGCCAUCAGGGACUCGCAGGCAAUGGGGACUACGACAGCUGGUGCUAGCAACUCACUACCCUCUCUGGCCUCUGGACCUAGCUUGAAGUUCUGGAUUAUUUCCUUCUUCCUUGUACCUCAGCCUGAGCCUUCUGUCACCCAAAGGGCUCCAGCUGGUUUUUCACUCAGGCCUCAUUUUAUCUUCCAAGGUACGUUUAGGGGAAG